AGGCAGCAGUUAGGAAUAUUGGACAAUGGGCGAAAGCCUGAUCCAGCCAUGCCGCGUGCGUGAAGAAGGUCUUUGGAUUGUAAAGCACUUUAAGUUGGGAGGAGGGGCAGUAAAUUAAUACUUUGCUGUUUUGACGUUACCGACAGAAUAAGCACCGGCUAACUCUGUGCCAGCAGCCGCGGUAAUACAGAGGGUGCAAGCGUUAAUCGGAAUUACUGGGCGUAAAGCGCGCGUAGGUGGUUUGUUAAGUUGGAUGUGAAAUCCCCGGGCUCAACCUGGGAACUGCAUUCAAAACUGACAAGCUAGAGUAUGGUAGAGGGUGGUGGAAUUUCCUGUGUAGCGGUGAAAUGCGUAGAUAUAGGAAGGAACACCAGUGGCGAAGGCGACCACCCGGACUGAUACUGACACUGAGGUGCGAAAGCGUGGGGAGCAAACAGGAUUAGAUACCCUAGUAGUCC
rnacentral:rRNA from 1 species